rnacentral:tRNA from 1 species
GCCUGGAUAGCUCAGUUGGUAAAGCGUGAGAUUCUUAAUCUCAAAGUCAUGGGGUUCAUGCUCCACAUUGGGCA